rnacentral:rRNA from 1 species
CGCGUAGGUGGCUUGUCAGGUCUGAUGUGAAAACCUGGGGCUCAACUCCAGGCCUGCAUCGGAAACCGGCUUGCUAGAGUCUGGGAGAGGAGAGUGGAAUUCCUGGUGUAGCGGUGAAAUGCGUAGAUAUCAGGAGGAACACCGGUAGCGAAGGCGGCUCUCUGGAACAGUACUGACACUGAGGCGCGAAAGCUAGGGGAGCGAACA